AUUGAACGCUGGCGGCAUGCCUUACACAUGCAAGUCGAACGGCAGCACGGGUGCUUGCACCUGGUGGCGAGUGGCGAACGGGUGAGUAAUACAUCGGAACGUACCUUAUCGUGGGGGAUAACGCAGCGAAAGCUGUGCUAAUACCGCAUACGCCCUGAGGGGGAAAGCGGGGGAUCGCAAGACCUCGCGCGAUUAGAGCGGCCGAUGCCUGAUUAGCUUGUUGGUGGGGUAAAAGCCCACCAAGGCGACGAUCAGUAGCUGGUCUGAGAGGACGAUCAGCCAAACUGGGACUGAGACACGGCCCCGACUCCGACGGGAGGCAGCAGUGGGGAAUUGUGGACAAUGGGGGCAACCCUGAUCCAGCAAUGCCGCGUGAGUGAAGAAGGCCUUCGGGUUGUAAAGCUCUGUUGUCAGGGAAGAAACACCGGCUCUAACACAGUUUGGGAAUGACGGUACCUGAAGAAUAAGCACCGGCUAACUACGUGCCAGCCGCCGCCGUAA
rnacentral:rRNA from 1 species